rnacentral:rRNA from 1 species
CCUACGGGAGGCUGCAGUGGGGAAUAUUGCACAAUGGGCGCAAGCCUGAUGCAGCCAUGCCGCGUGUGUGAAGAAGGCCUUCGGGUUGUAAAGCACUUUCAGCGGGGAGGAAGGCGGUGAGGUUAAUAACCUCAUCGAUUGACGUUACCCGCAGAAGAAGCACCGGCUAACUCCGUGCCAGCAGCCGCGGUAAUACGGAGGGUGCAAGCGUUAAUCGAAAUUACUGGGCGUAAAGCGCACGCAGGCGGUCUGUCAAGUCGGAUGUGAAAUCCCCGGGCUCAACCUGGGAACUGCAUUCGAAACUGGCAGGCUAGAGUCUUGUAGAGGGGGGUAGAAUUCCAGGUGUAGCGGUGAAAUGCGUAGAGAUCUGGAGGAAUACCGGUGGCGAAGGCGGCCCCCUGGACAAAGACUGACGCUCAGGUGCGAAAGCGUGGGGAGCAAACAGGAUUAGAUACCCGUGUAGUC